rnacentral:rRNA from 1 species
GUCCACGCCCUAAACGAUGGAUACUCGACAUACGCGAUACACUGUGUGUGUCUGAGCGAAAGCAUUAAGUAUCCCACCUGGGAAGUACGUUCGCAAAGAAUGAAACUCAAAGGAAUUGGCGGGGGUCCGCACAAGCGGUGGAGUAUGUGGUUUAAUUCUAUGAUACGCGAGGAACCUUACCUGGGCUAGAAUGCUGGGAGACCGUGGGUGAAAGCUCACUUUGUAGCAAUACACUGUCAGUAAGGUGCUGCAUGGCUGUCGU